AUGCUAUCCCUGGGCGCCCUCCGCAAGCUCUGCGCCGCCUUCGACGCCGUCGCGCUCACCGUCAUCGCCGCCGGCCUCUCCCACCCGCGCUGCCGCCCCUUCUCCUCCCGCGCGCCCUCCCCGCCGCCGGACUUCCCCACCAUUGCCGCCUGCCGCGCCGCGGUCGCCGCUUCCAAGACCCACCGCCAGCCCUCCUCCCCGCCCCACGCCGCGGCGCAGUCCCAAGGGCCCGCGGACGCCGAGACUCCGGUGCUGGUCAGGAUCAAGCGCGAGCGGGACCCGGUGCGCCUCUACGAGCUGUUCACCGCCAAUGCGGACAACCGCGUGCUGGUGGAGAACCGGUUCGCGUUCGAGGACGCGGUGGGGCGGCUGGCAGGUGCUCGACGGAACGACCUCGUCGAGCGGAUCCUCGAGCAGCACAGGGCGCUGCCGCAGGGGCGGCGGGAGGGGUUCGUGGUCAGGGUCAUCGGCCUCUACGGGAAGGCCCGGAUGCCGGAGCACGCGCUGCGGACCUUCCGGGAGAUGGAGCUGCACGGGUGCCCGCGCACCGCCAAGUCGCUCAACGCCACCAUGAGGGUGCUGGCGCAGUCGCGGCGCUUCGACGACGUCCUGCAGCUGCUGGACGAGGCGUCGCCCAGGUACGGGGUCGCGCUGGACGCCGUCUCCUACAACACCGUGGUCAAGAUGGCGUGCGACAUGGGGGAGCUCCGCGCGGCGUACCGGGUCAUGCAGGAGAUGGAGGAGAAGGAAGGGGUGCGGCCCGACGCCGUCACGUACACCACGCUCAUGGCCGCGUUCUAUAAGAGCGGCCAGCGCGAGGUCGGGGACGGCCUUUGGAACCUCAUGCGGCUGAGGGGCUGCAUGCCGACGCUCGCCAGUUACAAUGUCAGGAUCCAGUUCCUCAUCAACAGGAGAAGGGGCUGGCAGGCGAAUGACCUGGUGCGCAAAAUGUACGCGGCGGGGAUAGGGCCGGACGAGAUCACGUACAACCUGGUUAUCAAGGGGUUCUUUCUGAUGGGUGAGCACGAGAUGGCGCAGACGGUCUUCGGUGCCAUGCAUGGGAGGGGAUGCAAGCCGAAUGAGAGGGUUUACCAGACGAUGGUGCAUUACCUGUGUAAGCGGAGGGACUUCAACCUAGCGUUCAGGUUGUGUAAGGACAGCAUGGAGAAGAACUGGUUUCCCAGUGUGGAUACCAUUCACCAUCUGCUGCAAGGCCUCAUGAAAAUUAGAAAGGACAGGAAUGCGCGGGAGAUAUUGAAGCUCGUUACGGAGAGACAACCUGCGUACUCAGCUGACGAAGUGAAGGCCUUCCAAGACAUAUUGUCUCAUGGGAAGACUGGAAGAAGUUGACUGCCGGAUGGGAAGUUUUGCUGUAAAUCCGCCACAUGUAACUUAUUUCAGGUUAUAUUUGAGCAAAUCUGAGAAGUUGACUGCUGGAUGGAAAGUUUUGCUGUAAAUCCACCACAUGUAAAACUUUGACACUCUCUCUAUGCUUGAUUGAAAGGAGAAGGCAGCAAAGAAAAUAAUGAUGAAAAUACAGAAUAAGAGAAGUUGAGGGGAAUGGGGUCGCAUGGUCAUCGAGCAGCAUUGUUACCAGAACAAUCGGAAGUCAGAAGGUAGACGUUUUGAAAAACUCUAUCAAGAUUGUUGCUUGGAGCACUGGAGGGAAAACAAGCGUGUGACUGAUCGCGGUGAAGGGAACUUCCUGCCCAGAUUACCAACAAAUGGAGCAAGCUGCAAGUCACAGUUUGUGCUAACAACAUAGUCAACCGCAAAAGACUUUUGUACCAACUGCCGGUUGGCAUAGCCAUAUACUUCUACUGGGAGCCACACACACACACAUAUACAUUGAUAAGUUAGUAUAUCACGAUGUAUCUCACUACAGCUGUAAAUUCUUGACAUUCUUU